rnacentral:rRNA from 2 species
AAGGGGAGGCCCACGCGGUGAUGAGAGUCUGACGGAGCACGCCGCGUGAGUGAUGAAGGCUUUCGGGUCGUAAAACUCUGUUGUUAGGGAAGAACAAGUGCUAGUUGAAUAAGCUGGCACCUUGACGGUACCUAACCAGAAAGCCACGGCUAACUACGUGCCAGCAGCCGCGGUAAUACGUAGGUGGCAAGCGUUAUCCGGAAUUAUUGGGCGUAAAGCGCGCGCAGGUGGUUUCUUAAGUCUGAUGUGAAAGCCCACGGCUCAACCGUGGAGGGUCAUUGGAAACUGGGAGACUUGAGUGCAGAAGAGGAAAGUGGAAUUCCAUGUGUAGCGGUGAAAUGCGUAGAGAUAUGGAGGAACACCAGUGGCGAAGGCGACUUUCUGGUCUGUAACUGACACUGAGGCGCGAAAGCGUGGGGAGCAAACAGGAUUAGAUACCCCGGUAGUCAA